rnacentral:siRNA from 1 species
UCCAGGGACCAUUGGGCGUGUCCG